UAUAAGAGGAGUGCCGACAUAUCCAUACAUCUCUCUCUCUCAUUUUUGUCCUUUUAAUUACAGGUUCUCUAUACCUUCUUUAGCAGUUUUGAAGAAGAGAAGAGAAGAGAAGAGAUGGCCAACCCUCCUCCAACCAGAGGAACCCCUCUGAGGGAUACCGAGGAAGGGCUUAGAGAAGAUCAGCUGCAAGUGAUGAGAUCAGAAAGAGAACACACACUGGUGAUCCCAGCAGAUGGGCAUGACUGGAAAAAAUAUGGCCAAAAGUUCAUCAAGAACAUUAGCAAAAACAGAAGCUAUUUCAGGUGCCAAAAGAAGAACUGCAGAGCCAAGAAGCGAGUAGAGUGGUGUGCCUCCAACCCAACAAACAACCAAAUCUUCUAUGAAGGAGAACACACUCAU